UGGGGAAUCUUGGACAAUGGGCGCAAGCCUGAUCCAGCCAUGCCGCGUGAGUGACGAAGGUCUUCGGAUUGUAAAGCUCUUUUGGCGGGGACGAUAAUGACGGUACCCGCAGAAUAAGCCCCGGCUAACUUCGUGCCAGCAGCCGCGGUAAUACGAAGGGGGCUAGCGUUGUUCGGAAUUACUGGGCGUAAAGCGCACGUAGGCGGAUCUAUAAGUCAGGGGUGAAAUCCCGGGGCUCAACCUCGGAACUGCCUUUGAUACUGUAGAUCUCGAGUCCGGAAGAGGUGAGUGGAAUUCCUAGUGUAGAGGUGAAAUUCGUAGAUAUUAGGAAGAACACCGGUGGCGAAGGCGGCUCACUGGUCCGGUACUGACACUGAGGUGCGAAAGCGUGGGGAGCAAACAGGAUUAGAUACCCCUGUAGUCCCUGAGCGGGCUGGCAAGGCGCAU
rnacentral:rRNA from 1 species